CCUACGGGUGGCAGCAGUGGGGAAUAUUGGACAAUGGGCGAAAGCCUGAUCCAGCCAUGCCGCGUGUGUGAAGAAGGCCUUCGGGUUGUAAAGCACUUUCAGUGGGGAAGAAAGCCUUGGGGCUAAUACCCUCGAGGAAGGACAUCACCCACAGAAGAAGCACCGGCUAACUCCGUGCCAGCAGCCGCGGUAAUACGGAGGGUGCGAGCGUUAAUCGGAAUUACUGGGCGUAAAGCGCGCGUAGGCGGUCUGAUAAGCCGGUUGUGAAAGCCCCGGGCUCAACCUGGGAACGGCAUCCGGAACUGUCAGGCUAGAGUGCAGGAGAGGAAGGUAGAAUUCCCGGUGUAGCGGUGAAAUGCGUAGAGAUCGGGAGGAAUACCAGUGGCGAAGGCGGCCUUCUGGACUGACACUGACGCUGAGGUGCGAAAGCGUGGGUAGCAAACAGGAUUAGAUACCCGUGUAGUC
rnacentral:rRNA from 1 species